rnacentral:rRNA from 1 species
UACGGAGGGGGCAAGCGUUGUUCGGAAUUACUGGGCGUAAAGGGCGCGCAGGCGGCUGCUCAAGUCAGGCGUGAAAGGCCUGGGCUCAACCCGGGAAUUGCGCUUGAGACUGGGCUGGCUUGAGUGCGGGAGAGGAUGGUGGAAUUCCCAGUGUAGAGGUGAAAUUCGUAGAUAUUGGGAAGAACACCGGUGGCGAAGGCGGCCAUCUGGACCGCAACUGACGCUGAGGCGCGAAGGCGUGGGGAGCAAACAGGG